UCCCUGCUGGCUAAGAUGGUAAAGAAUCUGCCUGCAAAGCGGCAGACCCAGGUUCGAUCCCUGGGUUGGGAA
rnacentral:tRNA from 1 species